AGAUUGAACGCUGGCGGCAGGCCUAACACAUGCAAGUCGAGCGGUAGAGAGGUGCUUGCAUCUCUUGAGAGCGGCGGACGGGUGAGUAAUGCCUAGGAAUCUGCCUAGUGGUGGGGGAUAACGUUCGGAAACGGACGCUAAUACCGCAUACGUCCUACGGGAGAAAGCGGGGGACCUUCGGGCCUCGCGCCAUUAGAUGAGCCUAGGUCGGAUUAGCUAGUUGGUGAGGUAAUGGCUCACCAAGGCGACGAUCCGUAACUGGUCUGAGAGGGUGAUCAGUCACACUGGAACUGAGACACGGUCCAGACUCCUACGGGAGCAGCAGUGGGAAUAUUGGACAA
rnacentral:rRNA from 1 species